rnacentral:rRNA from 1 species
AGAGUUUGAUCCUGGCUCAGAUUGAACGCUGGCGGCAUGCCUUACACAUGCAAGUCGAACGGUAACGCGGGGCAACCUGGCGACGAGUGGCGAACGGGUGAGUAAUAUAUCGGAACGUGCCCAGUAGUGGGGGAUAGCCCGGCGAAAGCCGGAUUAAUACCGCAUACGACCUACGGGUGAAAGCGGGGGAUCGCAAGACCUCGCGCUAUUGGAGCGGCCGAUAUCAGAUUAGGUAGUUGGUGGGGUAAAAGCCUACCAAGCCAACGAUCUGUAGCUGGUCUGAGAGGACGACCAGCCACACUGGGACUGAGACACGGCCCAGACUCCUACGGGAGGCAGCAGUGGGGAAUUUUGGACAAUGGGCGCAAGCCUGAUCCAGCCAUGCCGCGUGCAGGAAGAAGGCCUUCGGGUUGUAAACCGCUUUUGUCAGGGAAGAAACGCUUUGGGAUAAUACCCCGAGGUAAUGACGGUACCUGAAGAAUAAGCACCGGCUAACUACGUGCCAGCAGCCGCGGUAAUACGUAGGGUGCAAGCGUUAAUCGGAAUUACUGGGCGUAAAGCGUGCGCAGGCGGUCUUGCAAGACAGAUGUGA